GCUUCGUUGGUCUAGUGGGAAUGACAUCGCUAUGCCACGGCGAGGGCGCGGGUUCGAUUCCCGCACGAAGCUCCA
rnacentral:tRNA from 1 species